rnacentral:tRNA from 1 species
UUUAAUAUAGUUUAAAAAAAAUUUUAAAUUGCAACUUUAAAGAUUAAAUUAUUUAUAUUAAAU